CACGUAGGGUGCGAGCGUUGUCCGGAAUUAUUGGGCGUAAAGAGCUCGUAGGCGGUGUGUCGCGUCGGCCGUGAAAACCUGCAGCUUAACUGUGGGCGUGCGGUCGAUACGGGCAUCACUGGAGUUCGGCAGGGGAGACUGGAAUUCCUGGUGUAGCGGUGAAAUGCGCAGAUAUCAGGAGGAACACCGGUGGCGAAGGCGGGUCUCUGGGCCGAUACUGACGCUGUAGAGCGAAAGCGUGGGGAGCGAACAGG
rnacentral:rRNA from 1 species